UACGUAGGGUGCGAGCGUUAAUCGGAAUUACUGGGCGUAAAGCGUGCGCAGGCGGUUCGUUGUGUCGGCGGUGAAAGCCCGGGCUCAACCUGGGAAUGGCAUUUGGGACUGCAAGGCUUGAGUGCGGCAGAGGAGACUGGAAUUCCUGGUGUAGCAGUGAAAUGCGUAGAUAUCAGGAGGAAUACCGAUGGCGAAGGCAGGUCUCUGGGCUGACACUGACGCUCAUGCACGAAAGCGUGGGGAGCAAACAGG
rnacentral:rRNA from 1 species